AAAAUGUUAGGAUGUAGGACAAAAAAAAAAAAAUACUUUUAUUCACUGUGGAAUUGUAGAGGUGUCUGUGAAUAAAAUGGGAUGUAGGACACUAAUGAGCCCAUACUGGUAUUGUCCCGGCCCUACUAGAGGUGUCUGUGAACAGAAUGGGAUGUAGGACACUAAUGAGCCCAUACUGGUAUCGUCCCGGCCCUACUAGAGCUGUCUGUGAAUAAAGUGGGAUGUAGGACACUAAUGAGCCCAUACUGGUAUCGUCCCGGCCCUACUAGAGCUGUCUGUGAAUAAAGUGGGAUGUAGGACACUAAUGAGCCCAUACUGGUAUCGUCCCGGCCCUACUAGAGCUGUCUGUGAAUAAAGUGGGAUGUAGGACACUAAUGAGCCCAUACUGGUAUUGUCCCGGUCCUACUAGAGCUGUCUGUGAACAGAAUGGGUCAGAGCACGAAGCAUCAGUAUGGCUGUGUGGAAACACGUUUUUUUUAAAUCACGUUAGUUGAACCGAAGAGGAUCAGGUCUGUUUAGUCUUUUUGCUGUUUAGUGCACGUGAACUCUUUCAUCACCUGGUUGACCCACCGUGGGGUUAGUGGGGUGUUGUGGGAAUAUUUACAGAUAGCGCAUCUGGCUCACGCACUCAGAGGUCCUGUUAAACACGUUGUCAGAUAUACAUCUUACGAUUUUAUAGGUUUAUUAUUUUGUGAGAUAUGUUAGGAAGGCUCUUGAUUAUCGCAGUGUUCUGGGUAAUAUCAUUUGUCUUUUAGCCACAGCUGAUAUUCGAGGACAUUAUUUGACUAUGCCCACUAGGUGGAAGUAUUGUAGAGUCUCAGUGUGGCGAUCAUGGUACUGCAGUUGUAGAAUGUUACUGUAUAUGAGGAAAUACAGUAUUUUAGUUGUCAAAUUGAACAAAAGUAGAACUGACAAAUAACUAAUCACAGUUUUUAUGGGUUUAAAACAUCUCGUAUUGGAUAAUAUUUUAGAUACUCAGACCACGUGGAUUGGAUUAGAUUACAAUGCAGAUUAAAGGGAUGGUUAAUCUAAUUUUCAUUGGGUAAAAUGUAUUUGAGUGGAUUGUAUUAAAGGGAUUGUUAAUCUAAUUUUCAUUGGGUAAAAUGUAUUUGAGUGGAUUGUAUUAAAGGGAUGGUUGAUCUAAUUUUCAUUGGGUAAAAUGUAUUUGAGUGGAUUGUAUUAAAGGGAUGGUUGAUCUAAUUUUCAUUGGGUAAAAUGUAUUUGAGUUGAUUGUAUUAAAGGGAUGGUAAUCUCAUUUUCAUUCAAAUGUAUUUGAGUUGUCUAUAUGAAUGAUCUAUAAGACCAAAGGAAGCAAUGAGAGGAAAACGUUCCAACAUAAUUAAAUCCAUCAAUGUCUACUGUACUAAAAAUAUGCCUCUCCCUAUACUUUACACUUUAGAAUUGAUUUCAAAUGAGUAAAUAAGAUCACUUCAUUUAUCCCAAUGCUUUUCUCAUUACAUCUAAUAUCUACAUGUUGCUGUUUGAAAAGUUCUGAUUGUGUCAAUCCUCUCUGCAAAAGCUAGUGAUUGUAAAUGUAGGGUUUUACCUUCAGUAAAUACAUGUUCAGGUGAACUCCUGGGAUUGAA
ensembl:lncRNA